CCUCCUUACGAUCUCAACCUCAACAUAGAAAUCAUGCUAUCACUACCUUAUUUUUUUUAACUUAUUUUUAUAAUUUAAUGUUGAUCAUUUUCAUACUUUAUGAUGGAAUUUUAUUAUCUAAGCCAUCAUUGUAAUCACGAUCACCUUCUUUGCCAUCAAAUGAUUUAAUCAAGAUUGGUUAUUAUCUUUUAUGGGAUCAAAACUCUACUAUAUUAUUUGUGCCGAAUCCAUUUCAAGCAUAA
rnacentral:lncRNA from 1 species